AAAAAACUCUGGAGAGAAGUGUUCAAUCACUCACCGAAGGGGAUGGUUUAAAACGUCAAGGGAUGUUUUAGAUCGAAGCUCUCAGGUACACAUGACAGAUGGGG
rnacentral:ncRNA from 1 species